CCUACGGGAGGCAGCAGUGAGGAAUAUUGGUCAAUGGACGCAAGUCUGAACCAGCCAUGCCGCGUGCAGGAAGACGGCCCUAUGAGUUGUAAACUGCUUUUGUACGAGGGUAAACGCAGAUACGCGUAUCUGUCUGAAAGUAUCGUACGAAUAAGGAUCGGCUAACUCCGUGCCAGCAGCCGCGGUAAUACGGAGGAUUCAAGCGUUAUCCGGAUUUAUUGGGUUUAAAGGGUGCGUAGGCGGUCGGAUAAGUUAGAGGUGAAAUGCCGAGGCUCAACGUCGGAAUUGCCUCUGAUACUGGUCGGCUAGAGAGUAGGUGCGGUAGGCGGAAUGUGUGGUGUAGCGGUGAAAUGCUUAGAGAUCACACAGAACUCCGAUUGCGAAGGCAGCUUACCAAGCUACUUCUGACGUUGAGGCACGAAAGCGUGGGGAGCGAACAGGAUUAGAUACCCUAGUAGUC
rnacentral:rRNA from 1 species